CCAAUUAUUCCAUUAUAGGUUCUUGUAUCUAUAAUUCAUUAAUGAAAUUAGUUACCUAUUUCAACUAAUUCAUUAAGCCAGGCCUCACUGAGCCACUUCUGGUUACUGUGCUAGGGCCAGAGAUAUAGAGAUCUAUGAGAGGUACCGUUUCUGGAGAUCAGAGUCUAAUGGUAGAGCAGCCAUGUAGGCAGAUAAUUAUUGUAUAAUGUGCAAAGUCCUUGCAAGAAAUAAAAGCAGAAUUGGAACUGUGGAGGAGGGCCGGGCCAAUUGCCCAGGAUAUCAGAAAAGGAUUUGCAGAGGACAGGGUAUUUUGAUCUUAAAAAAACAGGUAAUUUGGCUGGGUUAAUGGACCACCUAGGAAGACUAUGGCACAUCCAAAGAGGCCCCUGGCAUUAAGCUCUCGGGGCAGGAGAUGAGCCUGGCCUGAAAACAACUAUCGAAGCAUUUGGAAGAGAAAGUGGAAAGUACUUUGAUGGAAUGAGUCUACAGAUGAUAAAAAUUGGGGAGCCAUUAUGUUGCAGAUAGCUCUGUGAUCAGUAUUCUGUGAGCUGUCUUGACAUCACUGCGGAACUGAUGAAGUGAGUUCUUUCCUCCACCCCCUUCUGGCCACUGGA